GUGAGUGCGACGAAGAUGGAGAGUCGUGGCAGACUGUAAAUCUGUUGUUGUAAAACUGAGAUGGUUCGAAUCCAUCCACUCCCA
rnacentral:tRNA from 1 species